CCAGACUCCUACGGGAGGCAGCAGUGGGGGAUAUUGCACAAUGGGGGAACCCUGAUGCAGCGACGCCGCGUGGGUGAAGGAGCGUUUCGGCGCGUAAAGCCCUGUCGGGAGGGAAGAAGGAAGCGACGGUACCUCCCAAGGAAGCCCCGGCUAACUACGUGCCAGCAGCCGCGGUAACACGUAGGGGGCGAGCGUUAUCCGGAAUCAUUGGGCGUAAAGGGUGCGUAGGCGGCCUUUUAAGCGCGGGGUCUAAGGCGGUGGCCCAACCACCGUUCGCCCCGCGAACUGGAGGGCUAGAGUGUCGGAGAGGGAAGCGGAAUUCCUAGUGUAGCGGUGAAAUGCGUAGAUAUUAGGAGGAACACCAGUGGCGAAGGCGGCUUCCUGGACGAAGACUGACGCUGAGGCACGAAAGUGUGGGGAGCAAACAGGAUUAGAUACCCGCGUAC
rnacentral:rRNA from 1 species